rnacentral:rRNA from 1 species
CCUGGGGAGUACGUUCGCAAGGCUGAAACUCAAAGGAAUUGACGGGGGCCCGCACAAGCCGGUGAGCAUGUGGUUCAAUUCGACGCAACGCGAAGAACCUUACCUGGGCUUGAACAGCAGAUGACCGUCCUGGAAACAGGGCUUUCCUUCGGGACAUCUGUAGAGGUGCUGCAUGGCUGUCGUCAGCUCGUGUCGUGAGAUGUUGGGUUAAGUCCCGCAACGAGCGCAACCCUUGUCCUUAGUUGCCAGCGGGUAAAGCCGGGAACUCUAGGGAGACUGCCCCGGAAAACGGGGAGGAAGGUGGGGAUGACGUCAAGUCCUCAUGGCCUUUAUGUCCAGGGCUACACACGUGCUACAAUGGGCGGUACAAAGGGUUGCGAUACCGCGAGGUGGAGCCAAUCCCAAAAAACCGUCCUCAGUUCGGAUUGCAGUCUGCAACUCGACUGCAUGAAGGUGGAAUCGCUAGUAAUCGCGGAUCAGCACGCCGCGGUGAAUACGUUCCCGGGCCUUGUACACACCGCCCGUCACAUCACGAAAGUCGGUUGCACUUGAAAUCGCUGGGCUAACCCGGCAAGGGAGGCAGGCGCUUUAGGUGUGAUUUGAUGACAUGGGGUG